rnacentral:rRNA from 1 species
UACGUAGGGACCAAGCGUUGUUCGGAUUUACUGGGCGUAAAGGGCGCGUAGGCGGCUUGACAAGUCACUUGUGAAAUCUCCGGGCUUAACUCGGAACGGCCAAGUGAAGCUGUCAUGCUAGAGUGCAGAAGGGGCAAUCGGAAUUCUUGGUGUAGCGGUGAAAUGCGUAGAUAUCAAGAGGAACACCUGAGGUGAAGACGGGUUGCUGGGCUGACACUGACGCUGAGGCGCGAAAGCCAGGGGAGCAAACGGG